GAAGAAAUCCAGUCAUCCAAGACAGAGCUCCGCAUUUUAUUGUUCAGCCCAGCAUGAUAUGCAGCACAAGAAAUGCCGCUGCUGGUUAUAUGGAUCGCAAGAUCAUCACACAUAGUACGUUCCAGGCAAUAAAUAAUAGCGCACACAUUUCCACAAGAUUUUAGUAAUUUACACACGUCAGCAUAUGGAUCAUCCAAAAGGUCUUUA
rnacentral:misc_RNA from 1 species